GCUCAGGACGAACGCAGGCGGCGUGCCUAAUACAUGCAAGUCGAGCGGAGUUGAUGAGGUGCUUGCACCUCUGAUACUUAGCGGCGGACGGGUGAGUAACACGUGGGUAACCUGCCUAUAAGACUGGGAUAACAUUCGGAAACGAAUGCUAAUACCGGAUACGCGAUUUGGUCGCAUGAUCGAAUCGGGAAAGAUGGAGCAAUCUAUCACUUAUAGAUGGACCCGCGGCGCAUUAGCUAGUUGGUGAGGUAACGGCUCACCAAGGCGACGAUGCGUAGCCGACCUGAGAGGGUGAUCGGCCACACUGGGACUGAGACACGGCCCAGACUCCUACGGGAGGCAGCAGUAGGGAAUCUUCCGCAAUGGACGAAAGUCUGACGGAGCAACGCCGCGUGAGUGAUGAAGGUUUUCGGAUCGUAAAGCUCUGUUGCCAGGGAAGAAUGCUUGGGAGAGUAACUGCUCCCAAGGUGACGGUACCUGAGAAGAAAGCCCCCGGCUAACUA
rnacentral:rRNA from 1 species